AAACGACUCUCGGCAACGGAUAUCUCGGCUCUCGCAUCGAUGAAGAACGUASCGAAAUGCGAUACUUGGUGUGAAUUGCAGAAUCCCGUGAAUCAUCGAGUCUUUGAACGCAAGUUGCGCCCGAAGCCUUUUGGCCGAGGGCACGUCUGCCUGGGUGUCACGC
rnacentral:rRNA from 1 species